rnacentral:rRNA from 1 species
CGCGGUAAUACGGAGGGUGCAAGCGUUAAUCGGAAUUACUGGGCGUAAAGCGCACGCAGGCGGUUUGUUAAGUCAGAUGUGAAAUCCCCGCGCUUAACGUGGGAACUGCAUUUGAAACUGGCAAGCUAGAGUCUUGUAGAGGGGGGUAGAAUUCCAGGUGUAGCGGUGAAAUGCGUAGAGAUCUGGAGGAAUACCGGUGGCGAAGGCGGCCCCCUGGACAAAGACUGACGCUCAGGUGCGAAAGCGUGGGGAGCAAACAGGAU